GGCCAGGGUCUGCCAGGGGUUGCUGAUGGUCAUUGUGCUCAUGUGUAUGAGCCAUGUUGCCCAGUUACUUUCUUCUUUUGUAUUUGUACCAGGAUAUCCUGGACCUGAGUUGAAAUUUAACUGAGGAGGUAUAUCUAACACAGAAAGCCAGUUGCCAUGGCAGGCCUUCCUUUCUCUCUCCAGCUAUUUCCUGCCUCAGUAGGAUAGAACAAAUAAAGAUAGGUAGAAAGGAGACAAAGAAAAUCAUAAUUUAAAAAUGUACUUUUAAGAAAACUGCAACUUCAGAACAUAAUCAAUGUUACCUAAGGUUAUCCAUAUUUGUACUCCAUAUCUUUAUUCCCCUAGGCUUGGUCCUGUUCCCUAGCUGGCUUUUUUUUUUUUUUUUUUCUCCUUCCAGGCCCAUCACAACCAAACCCCUUAAAUAUAUAGUGGUACCUCAGUUCACCGAUGCGUUUGUGUGCAAACAGUUUGGUUUUUGUGAACAACAGAAGCAUUUAGCAAAAUUUUGCUUUUGUUUUCUAACUCUGCAUCAGAUGACAAACAUGACUACGGCCAUAUUUCCCACAUGACCAUGAACGUGGCCAUCUUUUUCAGACUUGUAGAAUGAAUUAAGUUCAUGAACUGUGGCACCUCUGUACUAUUAACCCAUAAGUUAACCUAGUUAAUAAGGUAAAGGACAGCAACCUAUGCUUAAGAUGAAGAAACAGACUCAAAGGUUUCAAAGAUUGUUUUUAUUUUUGGACAAUCUUUGAUCAUCCAUCUUCAAGGAUAACUUUAAGAACACAUGUAUUCUCAACUCCAUACCAUAGUGUACCUCUCUCUUGUGUGCCUAUACUCUAUUUUCACUAUGUACUUCUUUAACUCUGCCUAGUAAAGUCUAUCUAUGUUUUUCACUGAUGUGUCCAGAAUUUUUUUUUCUUUGACCAGAGUCAAGAACCUAGUUGGUAUGCUGAGUUGAGAUUCCCAUCUCUUCUUUGGGAGGACUCCUUGGAUCCUAUCUGGUGACCGUAUUAUACGAACGUCUUUCAUUAUUCAUGAAAGGAAUGGGAUGAAACAUUGGAGUCCCGGAAGAUGAAGUGAAACAUCAUCCUUGCUUUUUUCUCCCAUCAUCUCAUCACGGGAUUCACUUGAGACUAAUUCUUAAAAUAUCAUUUGAAUCUUCUCAUGUUUUGAUAGCCCCACCUCUCCUGUCACAGGCCAAGCCAUCUGACAUUUUUCUGCUGAUCACAGCAAGUUUAUUGUUCACCCACUUCCUACCAGGCUUCCUAUCCAGCCUAGCUCCAAAAAUUCUAAAAGCAAUGAUAUGGCCACAUUACUGCCAAGUUUAAGCCUUCCCAUAAUCCUCAGUGUGC
rnacentral:lncRNA from 1 species